CCUACGGGUGGCUGCAGUGAGGAAUAUUGGUCAAUGGGCGAGAGCCUGAACCAGCCAAGUCGCGUGAGGGAGUACUGCCCUAUGGGUUGUAAACCUCUUUUGUCGGGGAGCAAAAGCCGGACGUGUCCGGCUGUGAGAGUACCCGAAGAAAAAGCAUCGGCUAACUCCGUGCCAGCAGCCGCGGUAAUACGGAGGAUGCGAGCGUUAUCCGGAUUUAUUGGGUUUAAAGGGGGCGCAAGCGGAUUUUUAAGUCAGCGGUCAAAUCGUGGGGCUCAACGUGGGAACUGCCUUUGAAACUGGCAGACUGGAGUGUGUGAGAGGAUAGUGGAAUUCCAGGUGUAGGAGUGAAAUCCGUAGAUAUCUGGAGGAACAUCAGUGGCGAAGGCGACUAUCUGGCACAUAACUGACGCUGAGGAGCGAAAGCGUGGGUAGCAAACAGGAUUAGAUACCCGUGUAGUC
rnacentral:rRNA from 1 species